rnacentral:lncRNA from 10 species
CUGUACAAUACUAAUGCACCCUUUCAUUAAAAUAGAGGGUGCUUUUUUUUUUUCCUUCUUUUAUUAAAGCUAUCAUUCCAGGCUUUGAUCAAAGAUCCAAGAAUAUUUGUUCUACCAGGCUGGAAUGAAUGUGGUUUGGAAGUUCAGAGUACAUUUAAAAGCUGCAACAAAAUAUAGGUAGCCAACAAUCUCAGAAUUUUGGAUCAGCCCAGAUGGAGAUAGCAAUUUGAAAUGUCUUCGAUCCCUUACUUAAAUGACGAAAUGUCUAUCAGCCCAGAUAGAGCAAUUUGAAAUGUUUUCGAUCCCUUACUUAAAUGAUGAAAUGUAUAUCAUACUAUCUGUAAAUUGGAUAUUCCAUUACAGUGAUAACGUACAGAAUUCCCAUGCGUUAUUACACUUUCCUGAGAGUAAAGCAAUUAGAAUAACCUUAAUCCUAGCAACAAAGUUUUUUUUGUAGGUUUUUUUUUUUUGGUUUUUUUUUGUCUUUUUUUUUGCGUUUAAAACAUUUGGGCUAUUCCCUGACGAUCUAU